ACAUUAUUUUAUUGAGCACAAUUCAGUUACAACAUGUUUAUGCAUACAGGAUUGAGUAGGAUUUGAAACUCUUGAAACUCUCUCCUUAAAUAUUUACGUUUAGCAUGUUAAAUCACUGUAACUUAUGAAGUGAUUGAUAAUAUAAAUUGCUUGCAGUUUAUUCAUCUACAUUUCUAUAUUAUAAUUUUUGUGUUUUUAUUUGAUAUACGGAAAGUAUUUUCGAAAGCCAUAAUAAAAUUCAAUAAUGCCUUUAAGGAGGUAGGUUACCUUGUUACCAGGGUAAAUUCAUAUUACGCGAACCGCAGCACUUUUUUGUAUUUCGUGUAAUAUAAUGUUUUAACUGCUACAAUCUCAAUUUAGUUUAUCUCUGUCCCUUCAGGUUAAAUUUUUAUCCAGGUUUGAAGAACAUAACCCUCCAAAGGUAUUUUAUAUUGAAAGAAGAAGGAAAAUACGGAUAUUUAACACUUUUUACUGUAUUUUAGUUUCAUUGAUAUCCGUAGAAGUCUGCAUAAUUGAUAAUUUUAUUAGUAUGCGCGUUAGCUUUCUAAUAUAAGCUUAAAAUGUAUAUGUCGCGGGGCUUGCGUUUCCAUGGUAACGCAUUUUCUCUCAUUUUUAAACAAUUAUGUAUAAAAACGGAUUUUUUAUGGCUUCAGUGCAAUUCUGUAAAUGAACAACAUGGAAUAUUUGGGUAAUAUAAUUAGCAAAAUACCAAGCACUUUACAUGGUACCCUAUUUUUCUUAAAGUUUAAAGUAACCAUGGCAAAGAGAUGUUUAAAAUAGCUUAUAUCUUGCUUUUUGUAGUAAUUUCUUAUAUAAGAUAUUGAAUAAAAUUAUCUUUCUUGUUUAUGCAGCUUUAAAACGUAUUAUUUCUAAAGUAAGUUAUAUUUUCGUGUUAUUUGCAUUUAUUCAAACAAAUUUCACAGCUUAAAAUACUUACAGCAGUACCCUUCGUCUGGCAUUUUUCAUGGAAAAAUCGUUCAGCAUUCUACUAUUAUUCUCAUGGAUUUUGUUAAAAUGAAAAAAAAAAAGAGCCGAAGCUAUGUUCCUUAAAUUCACCAGUGUCAACGCUUUUGAAUUUUACACUCAGCUAUAUAGGUCACGGGCUUCGUUUCCAUGGUAACGUCAAUUCAAUUCAAGAAACCACAAUUUUUUACUGAAAUUUGAACAAUUUUAGAUAUUAGUUUAGUAUAUAAGUAACAAAUUAUCAACAUAAACUGAAAAGUAGGUAUUACAAAUCAAACUGCUAGUUUUUUUUUUUAAAUAGCCGUAACAAGUAACCGUUCACUCAACUUUAUUCCAAAUAACAUUGGUUACCAUCAUCCAUUUUCUUUCAUUCUGCAUAACAUUUCAAUAUAACUACAUAAAAGAAGCAACAUAUUGAUUAUAAUUCAGAGCAAAAGACUCAUAAAGUAUUUCAGCAAAUAAUAGUUAUUUGAAAGUAGUUCAAAUAAAGAAAAUGCACAGAAUUACGUAGUUUCAGAAUAAAAGCUAUUAAAUUUUGCGCGGUAACUGACACGUAUCAUCAUGAGGUCAAUGACGUCAUUUUAAGGCAACAUUGUUUUGAAGCGUUCCUGUGGCAAUUUAUGCAUUAUUUCUGCAUUAUUAAACCAUAAAUCAUCGGAUCGGAGACAGGUUCAUGAUUUGUUUUCAGAAGAAUGGAUAUACAAACACAUUUACAUUGUCGUGAACAGCGUCGUAAAUCGUCACGUUAGCUUCCGGUUGGACAUGCGCACGUACAAAUAUUAAGGUAACCUACCUCCUUAAAUGAAACAGUUUAUACGAACUCCUUAUUCGUACCUUGAUAAAUAAGUUCCAUAUCUUUUGCCGACGAAGGUGUCCCUUUUAGAUUUUUGGUGACAACAAGUACAUGACGUGUUAUCAAAACAUGAUACACAUUGGCAAAUUAAAUUAUUAAACUAUUAUGUACAUAAAUAAAAACCGUGUAAGCCGCAUCAAAUCUAGGACAGCACAAAAAGGGAAAUAUCCAUUAUUUCCAUUGUGGUGUUUGUUAAUGAUGUCCAUAAAACAUGACAAGAAGACAGCCUGCAGGAUAUAGUUUCAUGAAAGACAUACACAUAGUAAAAUCUAGGAAAAACAAUAUACUAAAAUGCUAAUCUGCUAAAAAUAAUACUGCAGACAAAGUUAUAUGUACAGAUGCAAUUAGUACUUUGAAGAACAAAAUGACAUUCUAAUAUAUAUAAUACUGGCGUUUAAAUACUUACAUCACUGCAUACUUAUCUAUUUAGUUGUUUACUAUAAAGCAUGCCCAUAUAAAUGAUAUUUUGCCAAAAUUAAAAAAAAAUCAGUUGUGAAAGAAAAGAUAUUGAUAAAAAAGAUUUUUUCUAACUAAUUAUGCACCUGAGGAAGAAGUUGUCCCCAUUGUGUUGACAGAAUAAAAUGUACCUCCUACAUUAUGUUAGAAAUAUAAAGGAAACUAGUAGACAGUUGGCUAACUUGGAAAAGAGGCCUGGUUAACAAAUCCGUAGGCAUUUUUAGUACAAUAUGGUAUAAUACCUUAAAACGUUUGUUAUUCUUUCUUCUAUUCAACCAGAGUGGAUACCAGACUGAAAUAUCCAUUUUUAUUUUUUUGUCAGGCCCCAAAAGGGGACAAUUAGUUUUUUCUCAAUUUUAAGGGAAAUUAAAGAGAAUUUUCAUUUCUAUCAUUAUUUGAUGAAAUGUGUAUCUGUUUUAGAUUAAAUGUAUUGUAAUAUGAAUAAAUAUAUUUAUCACACUAAUUAUCUUAGAAUUUGAGGCCCAUAACAGGGUUUUUAAAAAAAUAUUUUGAAAUUUUUGAUAGGUAUCGCAUAAUUUAGAAGUAUAUUGUUUUUACUCUAUUUGUGAAAUCUCUACGAUAAUAAGGUUAAGUAUUUAAGGUUCAGGUGUGUAACAGGCAUUCUAAUACACAAAAUAAUAAAAAAGGCACCACUAUGGGGUCAUGUUAUUGCAAAUGUUAAAGUUUGUUGAAAAAAAAAUUGGUAAAUCGCCUUCUUCUUUCAUAUGUUGUAAACCAUAAAAUUUACCAGAAUAUUUUCUUUACAGCAAUUAAAUAUUUGUUCUAAGGUAGUUUUUUUGUACAUCCCCCUCCCCCAAAAGAAAUAAAAAAUAAAAAAUUGAGGCUCCAAAGGGGUUUAAAUUACUCACAUUUCAUGACAAUUUAGAUAAAUAAGUAGUAAUUAGUUAACAGAAAAUCAUUGCUGAAAUAUAUUUAGCAUAUGACGAUUUAUGAUUCACCAUUUUAUAUGUGGUAUUCACAUCUCUUUAAUAGGAUGUAAGUGGAACUUUAACUAAUAUGCCAUAGUAUAAAUAUAGCUCAAAGACCAGAUUAUUCUUAAAUGUGUGCCCUCUUGAUAUACUAGUUGCAAGCCUACAAUUAUAUUCAUUGGCAAUGUCACCUAUACAUGUUUCUUUAUUCAUCUGAUCUCUUGUAACAUUGGAAUAUACCUUAAACAACAAUCAGAUCACUUGAUUCAGCUAGCCAGAGAGACAAAUCAAAGACAUUUUUAACCAAUUUGGUAUCAGCGGAGGAGUUUUCAAGUAUUUAGGUUUCCGCUGCUCAAUCUGGAGGUCAGCAUUUCAUGUACCACAUGACACCAGUACUGGUGUGUGUCCACUUCAGUAAAUGUCACAAUGACAUUGCACAGCUGAUAGUUACAUUUUAUUAUUGUAAGUAUUUCAUUACUUGAAAAGGAUAACUAGUGUUCAUGUGAACAUGUAACACCUAUUUUCCCAACCAGCUACGUUUUUGGUAGGUGGUGUUUAUGAAGUAGCCACAAAAGGGCUAGAAAUAAUGUAAUCAUUAGUAUUUUGUGUAAUUUUGUGCCUUGCAGAUUAUAGAUAUCGGCUCUUCUUGGUCCUCAUAUACUCGCCUCUAUUCAUGCUAUAGGAACAAGAGUGUCCAGGACCUGUGAAAUCUGUUUGUUUACAAUUUUGAUAACAGAUUAAGUAUGCAUGUUUUGUUGUUCGUUAUUAACGAUAGUUAUACUUGUAAGGGUUCCUAAGUGUAAGCGUUUUUAUGUACAAAUGACUGCAUGAAACGCCACAUCAUUUUCCUGGCACCUUAGUGAUGGUCAGGUCUAGAUUCCAACCUGAGGGCCCUCCAUGUAGUUUCAGCUCAACAUUAAAAAAUUGUUAAUGAUCAUUUUUUCAGUUCUAGGCUUAUUAUGAUCUAGAAGCUUAUUUUGCUCAGGUUGAAAGAACUGAGUACAUGUCUUAAUAGUUGUUAGGCUUACUUUGUAUCUAAAUUUACAGAAACAUUUCGUGCCAUUGCGUCUUUUAUUUACACUGUUGCGCAACUCUGAAAAGUUGAAAGGAUUAGAAGAAAGGUUUACUUCACUUUUUACCGGUUUAAUUUCCAAGUUGUGUUUCUGCAACUGACAGUUCCUAAUCUGUGCUCCACUUUGUUCCUUUGUGUGUCCGUAUCUUUCUCGUUGUCUAUAUAAUAUAUUUUGUUCAUGUAUAUUAAAAGUUAAUCAUGUACACAUCCAUGCAAUCACUGAUAUGGGGAUUUUGUUUGAGGGGGGAGGUUCUUUCUUCGAACGUAAUUUUUCUUAAUGAUUAUUUGUUCAUGCGAUAUUUUUGUCUAGCCUUGUGCUUUGAAAAUACUCUCAAAAAGAAAAAUGCAACAUCUAUUCUUUAGGACAGUCUAAGCAUGACGUGUGUUUCCAGAUUUUAUUUACUUCACAACAGUGGGCAGUGUUGCAUUUUCCAUUACUGCUCAUGAACAGACUCAAUAAAACCGAGUCUGCAAUUUUCACUGUUUGCCUUGUUUUCGGUGCUUCCGAGGGAUCUACUUUCCAGAUUUUAUUUACUUCACAACAGCGGGUGUUAAGUGCUGUGUGGCGGCCGAUAAAAGUCGCCCCGACUUCAUCUCAGUGUUGUUAUAUUUUCUGGUCCUUCGGGAUCAUUGAUUUCAAUUUAUUUAGAUUUGAAGAUUGAAUACUGCUUAAGCCGGAGCUAGGGGGCGUGGGCAGUGUUGCAUUUUCCAUUAGUGCUCAUGAACAGACUCAAUAAAACCGAGUCUGCAAUUUUCACUGAUUGCCUUGUUUUCGGUGCUUCCGAGGGAUCUACUUUCCAGAUUUUAUUUACAUGAACAUAUGGCGCCUGUGUUGUAAUUCAUUUCACUACCACCUUAGAAACUCAUAUUAAUUACAUAUUUCGAUAUACAGAAAUUCAAUCAUCAGUAAGGAAUGGCAUACCAAAUAUCCUUAAAAGUCUUGAUACUCUUAAAGGAUUAAUAAAUUGACCAAGAGUUUAAGUUUGAUAAGUUUAAAGUUUUUACCUUGCAAAACACUUUUGGGUGAUGUAGACGCGAUUACAAACAUUUACGUGUAGUGUAAUGUCACAAAAGAUUUUCUAUAUUGUAGUAGUAUUAUUACAUCUGGUGACUCCACCAUUUCAAAACAACUGAAUGUCAAUUGGUCUUAUGGCAUACAACUGCUUCAACAAAAUAUUUUUGAAAAAUGCCUGUUCUGGCCAUGGAUAAAGUCCGAUAACGAUUUUAAUAACAACACCUGCCCAAAAACCUUGCGCUCGACUAUUCAACAACUUCUAAGUUUCACAAGGACCAUGACUGGGCAAGACUUACAAAACCACAUGUCACCAAAGGUGACACCAACACCAGUGUUAACAGAAUAGCUCUCACUAUUCUUCAGAUGCAAUGGAAUUUUGAAAAGUCUGGCAAUUUAUGUGUGUUUAUCAAUGUACCUCAAAUAUUUACACACAAUGUUUUGCAAAAACAAUGAAAUAUUUGCCAGAAUAUGGUAUUGUGUGUUUACUUUUUUGAGUGUAUAUAUCGGUUCAGUAUUCCAUAAUUGGGCAAUUUGACUGUAUGUGUCUCAAAAGCUAGUACCAAUAAACCGAUAUUUUACGCACUCUUAUUGUAGUAAUCAUUAAAUGAAAAUAAGGAAAUGAAAUGCAGCGAAGUAACAUGUAUAUGUAAUAUAUUGGCUCUACAAUUUCUUGAAAUUCUCAGAGUUACUUAUUCUAUAUGUAUCAAAGUGUUUUGCGAAAGUCUCGGGUUUAGUGUUCUCAGAGGUCAAUAGAAAGUGAUGCUGCAAUAAUAAAAACCAAUAAAAUUACUUUACACAAUAAGUUUCCGUACAGUUAAUGUUUUAAGACUGCGUGAGUAUAUCCACACACUUAACUGAAUGUUACGUUGAUAGCAAAAAUGAUAUGCAGCAUGUACGGUUAAAAUUGUUCAUUUUGCGUGUAACUCCUUUUGGGGCCUCUUGAACUAUAUAUGAAAUUUCAAAAAAAUGUAAUAUGUCUUAGUUUUUUAUAUGCACUGGAUACUAUAGAGGAUAAACAUUCAUUUCUUAAUUACAUGUUAAUACCAAUGUACCGCUAAUUUUAACAUAUUGGAUACGUCACAUCAUCAUGUAAAUGCCGUCUGACGGAGAACCCCCAAUUUAGGGCCUCUUAGUCUUUAACUUCACUUGAAAAUUACAUUUAUACGUCAAAUUAUAUUAUAUAAUUGACUCUUUCCACUCUAUUAUAUAUUUAAGUCAGAUUUACCUUAACCUGUAAUUUAAACAAAAUUUUACUUUCAAUUAUUAUUUCUUAUCACGUGCACCCCUUUUGGGGCCUCACAAAAAGUUGAAUAGGAAUAUUUGAGCUUGGUGUCCUACCUGGCUGAAUUCCAUAUAUCCCAACGAACAUUUUGAUGUAUGAUACCAUAUUGUACUUAAAAUGCCUACGGAUUUUUUUCUCGGGGCUUUCGCCAACUGUCUAUAGAUGGUAAAGCGAGUCCACGUGUUGAAUAACAGGUCUCAGUACAAUGAUUGUACGACUUUUGAUCAAGAAUCAUCAAUGUUCUUCCUCGCAGGAUUAUAUGUUAUAUCUAUUGACCAAAAUACAUCACGUUAUUUCACACCAGUUGAGUUUAGAUCGGGCUGCUAUGUUUAGUAGGGCGUACUUUAAGCAUAAACAUGAAUAUAUUAGAUGCUUUAAUGAAGACCAAACAGCUUUAAUCAGCAUCAGUCCAUUUCGUAACUGUAUGAUUAAAAUAAUGUGCCAUUUUUCAUUAUAUCAUAUCUCGUGAAACUCGCUUUUGAGAGUUUUUCGACGUAUCCUACAGACUACACGAUUGUCAUAGAACACGUUUUCUUACAUUUUAAGCAUCUUUUAAAGCACUUUUUACUAUCAAUGCUUUGAAUACUACAAGAUUGGAAAAAAAAAGAAACUGACACCGGGAGUACAUUCUCGCACAAGCUUUUUAAUGCGCAACCCAUGGGUACUAAACGUGAUACACGUAAACUAUGGAACAUUAUUGAGGCAUUGCAUCUUGGUGUGAUACAUAUCGAUGUUACAUGCCACAUUCAUUACAUUGUAAUUUAAGUAUUACAGCUAUCAUAUCAACACACUAGAUGUCACUCACGUUCUUGUGUGGGAAAUGUCCGUGAAACCAACGACGUCAGUCGGUUUCUAUUUGUCCAUUAACAGGAUGCAUCGCCUAUUAUCCUUAUUUAGGCGUCCGGUAAUCAGCUUAACAAAGGCUUGUAUAUCAGUAACGCGUAUGUAUGCUAUUUGAUCGCGUACAGCCGUGAGCUCGAAGAUGAACCACUCAUUUGAAAAAAUAAGUAAAACAUUUCAAUACACAUUUGCUACUGAUUGCUGCCACUUGAGAUGACUACAGGCAAUCUCCAAUCAGUGCUAAAGUAACCUUCGGUCAGAUAAGACGUAACUCAAGUGCAUUAUGGAUUGGUGUUUAUUAACAGUACAGACUUUGAGUUAUAAAAAUUUAAGAAUGAUUGAAUAAUGUACAUAAGUUAAAGGGUAAGGGCAGAUUUCCAGGAAGCAUCCAUUCCAAACACAACCAUAGAGCCAUGCAUCGCAAAGUAGGUCAUAUAAACAUUAACACUAUAAGGGGGAUUUAGAACCAGAGGAGUGCAUUUCUCUUUAGACAAGAAACACGCCUUAAAAUUUCAGUUCUGGAAAUUUACUUUGAAAACUGGAAUAGAUUAACUUCAAACUCAAGACUUUUAGAUAUAGUCACAGUUAGUUUUACCUCCGACCAGAUUCUAGCUCUUUCAUUUGUUGAGUAGUGUCACGUGGUUGCCAUAUAUAUUUCUAUAGAGGGUCAGUGGAUGACUUUAUAAAGCUUGGCGGACUACCUUUUGUAAUUUUUCUUAUCUGGUUUUGGAGAAUAACUGCAGAGAGACAUAUUUAUGCAAUUAUUUUUUUUUAUAAACGCGCUUUUAUUAGGUACGUGAGACCAUGGUACAAAUGUAUAGUGUAUGCAUACCGUAUUUGCAUUACUACAAAAUAGUUUUUAUAACGGAAACGCUCGGAGAAACGGAAAGUGACCCAUGUCAGCGUUUGUUCAGGAUUUAAGCUUUCUGCACUUCAGUCUAGAAAUAUAGUGCAUCUGGAAUGGAGUGUUAUUGAAUAAAACCAUCGAGGAAACGGGUUGCCUAUUUGUUCUGUCAAGCAGCGUUAUGGCGUGUGUAUAAGUCACGUCUAGCGUUUGCUUGAUGAGGAUGGGUAAUCCGGCAUGCAACUGACAUGACUGAACUUCGGACAAAAUUUCACUUGGUAACAAAUUAUAAUCAUUCAUUAAUGUUCAGCAGAACUAAAGGCAGUGUGUUUUUGUUUACAACCUUUUGUAAAAAUAAACAUUCAGUACACAUAAGAAUUAGGUCAGACAAUACUGUAACAGUAAUCUGAAUCAGUAUGCGGGGUUCUACUAAGCAAAUUCUUAAUGAAAUAACCACAGUGACAGCACUUUGGUUUUUCGCUAUUCAAAUCAAACAACUAUGGUUAUCAGCAGAGCAUAUUUCAGGCAAAUAUGGUUAUGAACAGAGCAUAUUUCAGGCAAAAGUAAUGUCAUUGAAGAUUCUGAAUCUCGAUAUUCAAACUUGACACAGACUGUAUGUAGAGCAUAUUUGUUUCACAUAAUUGUGGACUUGUAUGGUAUUUCAGACUUAGAUUUAUUUGCUUCACGUUUAAAUAAUCAAAUGAAAUCGUUUUAAUCAUGGAUACCAGAAUAUAUGUUCUCUUAUUGCAUCCAAUUAAAGCUGGAAAGGAAAGCUUAAUUAUUUGUUUCCUCCUUUCAGCUUGAUAGGUAUGCAUUACGGAAAAUAGAGCAAGACCAAAUGGAAGCAAUAUUGACAGUAACAAGAGACUUUUCCUAAUUAUAUAAGUAUAUCCAAUUCUAAAGGAACGGCAUUUAACAGUUUUCAGAAAAUCAGAGAAACACUCCAAUGUAAUGGAUUAUCAGAUGAUGUUGUCAAUAUCAUUUUGCAGUCAUGGAAAGAUAAGAAUGCAAUACGGGAGAAAGUUUGAUAAAAUUGACGUGUUUUUCCAGUGCACAAUAAUGCAUUACGGGAGUAACUUCGAAAUAUGGAUAUGUUUUUCCAAUGAAUAAUUACUAGAUACCUAUUCCAAAAAUAAAUAAUAUUCUGGAAUUUCUAGCAUCAUUUUGAGUUAUAGUUCCAUUAACACAGCUAGAUCAGCCUUAAGUUCUUUCUUUGGUACAUGUGAACUUGAAUAAUCAGUGGCCAAGCAUUUUAAUAAUGAGGGGAGUAUUUUAUUAAGACCGGCACUCCAAAGAUAUAAUGUUACCGGGGAUGUUAAUAAGGUGUUAUGGUGUAUAGAACAAAUCCAGUUAGAUAGUGACUUCAAACAUUUAAUCGUUAAAACUGUAAUGCUGGUAUGUCUUCUUUCUGGACAAAGAAUACAAUCUAUGCAUUUAAUUGGUCUUAGAUGUAUGGACUUUAUUAGUGUGAACUUAGUUUAGAUUAGGUUUGGAGAUUUACUCAAACAUUCAGGGCCCGGUAAGCACUUAGAUGAGAUGGUUUUAAACGAUAUUCAAAUAAAUCUUUGUGCAUAGUUACGAGUUACGGUUUGAAAUAUUAUUAAUAAAGAACAGGAAUCUUGCAAGAAAAUGAAAACUGUCUGUUUAUGUGUAGGUUACUAACCGAGUAGGAGGUGUUCAUGAAUUGAAAAUACCCGCGCUUCUGCGAAUCGUGACACCGAUAGCGAGUAGCUUUUUUGUAAGCCGAUUAUUCGUUGGGAGUUUUUUCUUUGUUUGAUUUUACAGAAAAAACAAACAAACAAACAAACAAAGCAUCAGUAUUGUCUAUGCUUCUACUCUCCCUAACUUCAAUAUUUCACAUUCUGAAGUUCACAUUCACAUGAAGUUUUUGAACUGAAUGAAAAGUCCUCAAUUUUUUUUCAUUGUUUUUUUUUAUCUUUGUAAUCUUUAGUUGCGUGUUUAUAAAACAUGUUUCAUGAUAAACUUAGUUUCGGGCUCUGCAUUUACGAUUUCGUCGUCAUCAUCAUCAUCAUCAUCAUCAUCAUCAUAUAACAAUAAUAUUUAUAAUUAUUAUCUGCUUCUUCUUCUGCUCCUCCUUUUUUAGUGCUGAGACAUGAAUGUAUCUCAAGAAUAUUGUAGAUGAAAAUAUUACGAUGGUAAUUCAAAGGUCAAAAUUUACAGUUUUUGAAAAUCAUAAGUAUACAUUUAUAAAUGCUACUUGAAGAAGGUUUUAUCUAUUGUCCGUAAGUAUUGACCUGGCAUUCAUUAAUCUUCGUCAAUAUUUCGUUGUUGUUGUUUUUUUUUUUGCUAUUUUACGAAAUAUUUUAUCCUAAAUAACCAAUAUAAAUAACCAAUGGGACGGUGGCGUAGUGGUUGCUGUUUGACUGCUACGCACGUUACCAUGAGUUCAAAAUCACCUCAGACUAAUUUUCUAUUUCAGUGUUAUGUUGUUAUCGAUGUUACUUUAAUUCUUACAAUAAUUAUCUAUGUAACAUAUUUCACAAAUUCUGACUGUUUUCUCUUGUAUUUUUUGUUUUCUGGAAACGCUGGUGACAAGUACUUUGUCUUUUAUCUAAUAUACUUUCAGAGAUGUUUUAUUCAACAUUUCCAACAUUUCUCAUAACGGUUAUAUCUCCAGAAAUAAACCAAAAGUACGCAGAUGAAAUUGGGGAAGGUGGAGGGGGUGGGGUGGGAAUGGUCCUACGCAGGAGUUUAUUUAAAUAUACCGAUUGGAAGCUAAACGUUUUAACCGUAUGUGACAUUGUGAAAAUUAUAAAGAAAUAUAUACAUAGUAUUUAUAUCGCUAUUUAGCUUCAGAUACCUAUAAUUAAUUUACGGAAAAUAUACAAAAUAUUCAGGAGUACCAGAUCAAUUCAUCUAACAUUCUUUUCAUGUGCUCAGGUAUGGUAUGAUACCUGUGCAUGUGCGCAGGUAUUCUAUGUAGGUAUUCAUUUUGGUUACUAACCCGCAGAGAACAAUAGAACAGUUGUGUCAUAGUUUUUUCAAACCUUUUAAAACGUUACCAAAGACAAAAUAUGUAGAUGGAUUAAGGGUAUAAUGCAAAAGGCAGACAUUGACACAUCAAUUUCAUACUUCAUAGCAUUCGCUCUGCUUUAGUUUCUCAGGCUAGUAAAUGCAGGUUGCCAAUACUAGAGACAGUUAUAAGGACAGGUGGCUGGAGAAGAGAAUCCACAUUCUAUUACCACUGACACCUCAUUUGCUGAGACCAUUUUACAUAAAAACAGCUGUUAAUUAUUGCAAAGUUAUAGAUAUCGGAAGUAAUUGUAAACAAAUAAAUUGGAUAGUAUCGUCUUGACAUUUUUAUGUAGGGAUAGUUUGUGAAAUUUUAAGUUACUUUUAUGUUUACUGUAUGCAUGAAAAUAAAUUUAGUGACAGGGGAUCAAUUAACUUACGUAUUCAAUGAUGUAUCUUUAAUGUAGCACUUGUUGUGGCUGGAUGAGCUCUAAAGGUUUAAGUGGCACAUAUCAGUAGCAUAUGUGCAUUGAAAUGGUAUUGUACAAUUAUACGAACGUUUUGAAGUAUGAUUUUAAUUCCAUGAAAUCAAAAUAUGCUACUGUGGGUGUCACUUGCCCGACCAAUCUCUUCCUAUAUGCAAUAUGAAACUUACAUUCAACUACAAGCUUUGAAAAUUGGAGAUUGCCUUUAGUCAUCUCAACUGACACUGACACAAGAGCAUCAUUUACAGAAUCGGCAAGGAAACCAGAAAUAAAGCAAUGUGGAAAGAAAAAAAUGUGGACUGUGUAAAUUUCUGAUAGAAGGAAAUAAAUACCACUUCAAAAAUGGCCGACAAUUCCAUAUAAAAUUUUCCGGUACGUGUGAAAUACAAAAUGUCAUAUAUGCAAUAAAAUGUUCUGGAUGUUCAAAAGACUAUAUUGGAGAGACGUCCAGAAUUUCCAUUACUUUUUUUUCGAAAAUGUUCAAACCUUCAACAUGUUUAGUUGUAACUGCACCAACCUUGCCCCCCAGCCAUGUUCAAGAUUUCUUACUUGAUUGUGUUCUCUUAAGGACAUUUGUUCUUUUAAGUUCAGAUGUACAUGUUAAGACCAAUUCUCUGUAAGAACCAAAAAAAGUUGGAAACUCAUAGUCACAGAUUUCCUUUAAACCGAUUUUUUCUUGAAGAGGGUGCAAAAUUAAGAAAAUCCUGAUUUUCAUUUUUUCAAUAUAUGUCCCGGUUUCCAUGGAAACGAGGAUGCAGAUCCCCAACUUGCUGAAUUUUCAAAAGAGUAGGGGUGCUUGCCUAUUUUGUUAUCUGGAAAGUACUAGAAAGUGUCCUUUAUUUUCGCACUUGCAAAUUUUAAAGGCAAAUGAACAAGGUUUCAUACCAAACUAAUAUUUCCAAAUAUUUAUUUGAUUCUUGUAUGAUCUAGACUUUUAUCUGCAAGAAAAAAUAUAUUUAUGGAGCAAAACAUAUGCUUAUAUUGUGCUCUACGUCUUGAAAAGUGCACAGGUCUCAGCAGAAAAGUAUAUUUGUUUGUAUAAAGGGAAGAUGAUAUUUCAAAAAGAAACAUAAAUCGUAGUGGGUCAUUCAGACACAUUCUUGUAGAUUUGGGCCAAAGUUUAUGAUUUGGGGCAUUUUUCCUAUUUUUAUUACCUCCCCUUGAUGAUCUUCAUUUAGGAAAUCACAAAGAGCUUAUCUAAGUUUACUUCCUGGAUUAUGCUGAAUUCAGAUUUCUACUCGGAUUUUGCAAAUUUUUAGUAUGUAGAUACAAUGACAGUCAGAGAUUUUAUGCUAAAUGGGCAUGUGAUGCUGGGAUGUGUCCCUUCAAACCAAGUCCACGUUUAAAAUUUGCUGAAUAGCGACAUUGUUUGGGAAAAAUACUCUGGCAGAAGAGUCUAAACUGUUUAUUUCCAUAAGUGAAGUUUGUAUCAACUGACUGAAGGAUCAGUGUUAAAGGAUAACACUACACUGAAAACAGCUGUGAGUUGUUUCUUUUGAAAAUGACUGCUUGAUGAUAAAGUUUCAAACAACUAUGAAACUAAUUCUUCAAAGAAUGAAUGCUCAUCACCAUCCUUAUAUUGGAAUAAAAGGAAGGAAGUGACAGCUACAGUCAUGGUAAAAGUAAAUGCAGUCAAAAGACCUCUGAUAUCACCUGAAGAGCCAGCCUUCUCAAGAUUCUGUAUCAAAUAAAAAUAACAAGGACUGCUAAAAAGACUUUUUAUAACUUGCAAAUGUGCAGUCUGUGACAUAACUGUCUGAUCCAGGUAGUUUAGUGUUGACAAGAUGACAUUUCAUCUCUAUAGUAGAGGACACAAUUUUGAAAUGCAGUAUGUCAUUGUGAAGGCAAAAUAUUUAUGAAUAGUGUGUGUGUGUUUUCCAAAUAGAGAGGCUGAAAGUGGGGAAUCAUCAAUUAGUGUUUUUGGAAUAAGUUAUGGACAUCUGAAUAGUGAUGAUCUGUCCCUUUUUUGGAUUGCCACAGACCAAAAUAAUGAUUGGUGCCUUUGACAUAAAUAGAAGAACUCACACUGGACACCUGAAGAUGGA